rnacentral:tRNA from 1 species
GGAAUUUUAGUAUAAUUAAGUAUGUUUCUUUUUCGUGGAAGUGGUGUAGAAUUCUA